ACGGGGGGAUGGAGGGGAGGGACGGGAAGUUGUACAAAAGGUAAAACGCGGUUUUGGUGAUUUGUAGAUGCCUAAAAAUGUAACUUGUUUGACGACCCGUGAGCCCCUCAGUGCUCGGUCCGCCGUGUUCCCCCUCCUCCGCAGUACCAUCGAAAGCUUAUGGAGUUCUGGUUGGAGGCAGCUCCGAGCAACCUGGUCCAGUGGAAGGUGUCCCUGCCCACGGAAGGAGUGUUGGAAUUAGAUGAUCUGCUGAGCUCACAGAAGGAGUCGGGCAGGUGCCAGUGCUGGUGGAAGGGGAGGGGAACAUACGGCUGGGAACAGAAGGAAGGUGGGAAUGUGACAAGCGAUGACAAAUUGGUUUGCUUGGAGAGGAGCCGCACUGUAGCUUGUACCAGCCUUUGAUUUCUGCCGUGCUGACUUGAGCUGAGUGAUUUGCUCUGUGGAAAGAAAGUGCAUCCCACUCCAAAUGAAACCAUGAAACCAGGCAGAGCAAGUCCUUCAAGUAAGCCUUUGUGUCCCAAGAGAUGUAUCCAAGAAUAGCAAAUGUUUGAAAUGUUCAUGCUCAAAUUGUUCCACCUUUCUGUUCUUCAUCUGUAAGAUGAAGAUGCUAAUAUUAACUUGCCUCAGGAAUCUUGUGAAGAAAAAGCUGCAUUUGUGAAGCACUGGUUACAGUAAAAAAAAAAAAAAACAUAAAAACCCAAGAGAAAAUAAACUAAAAUACAUUUUUAUUCAGCACUGCUUCUGAAUGGUUAUUAAAUAAAACCCAAGGCUACUUAGUAAAUAAGGAAGAUUAUAAAAACUUUAACAACUCAGGAAGCACAAUUCACCUUGCAGCAUUUUCUGCACUGAAAAAGGCUGGAGAUCUGGUGGAAAAAUAAAGUACUUAUGCAAAUGCUGAAAUUAAACUUGUCCAUGGAUUUGUGCUUAAAUUGACUUAUUGCAGGCUCUGAUUCAAAGCUGCUUUAUUGCUGUGGAAUUGAUAAGGACUUUUCCUGGGUAGUUUCUCUGACUGAAGGGUGGAGUUAAGAAUAGUCUGGGAAUGCACAGGUGUGUUUAGUUGUUCCAUUGCAACCUGGGCAAAGGAGAGUUUGCAGAUAUAGAUUUACCUGGAAUAAUGCCCGUGAAGUUCCCUGUCUC